ACGGGUGAGUAACGCGUGGGUAACCUGCCCUAUACACACGGAUAACAUACCGAAAGGUAUGCUAAUACGGGAUAACAUAAGAAAUUCGCAUGGAUUUCUUAUCAAAGCUUUUGCGGUAUAGGAUGGACCCGCGUCUGAUUAGCUAGUUGGUAAGGUAACGGCUUACCAAGGCGACGAUCAGUAGCCGACCUGAGAGGGUGAUCGGCCACAUUGGAACUGAGACACGGUCCAAACUCCUACGGGAGGCAGCAGUGGGGAAUAUUGCACAAUGGGCGAAAGCCUGAUGCAGCAACGCCGCGUGAGCGAUGAAGGCCUUCGGGUCGUAAAGCUCUGUCCUCAAGGAAGAUAAUGACGGUACUUGAGGAGGAAGCCCCGGCUAACUACGUGCCAGCAGCCGCGGUAAUACGUAGGGGGCUAGCGUUAUCCGGAAUUACUGGGUGUAAAGGGAGCGUAGACGGCAUGGCAAGCCAGAUGUGAAAGCCCGGGGCUCAACCCCGGGACUGCAUUUGGAACUGUCAGGCUAGAGUGUCGGAGAGGAAAGCGGAAUUCCUAGUGUAGCGGUGAAAUGCGUAGAUAUUAGGAGGAACACCAGUGGCGAAGGCGGCUUUCUGGACGAUGACUGAC
rnacentral:rRNA from 1 species